rnacentral:rRNA from 1 species
UUGCCAGACUCCUACGGGAGGCAGCAGUGGGGAAUAUUGGGCAAUGGGCGCAAGCCUGACCCAGCAACGCCGCGUGAAGGAAGAAGGCUUUCGGGUUGUAAACUUCUUUUAAGAGGGAAGAGCAGAAGACGGUACCUCUUGAAUAAGCCACGGCUAACUACGUGCCAGCAGCCGCGGUAAUACGUAGGGAGCGAGCGUUAUCCGGAAUUAUUGGGUGUAAAGGGUGCGUAGACGGGAAAGCAAGUUAGUUGUGAAAUCCCUCGGCUUAACUGAGGAACUGCAACUAAAACUACUUUUCUUGAGUGCAGGAGAGGUAAGUGGAAUUCCUAGUGUAGCGGUGAAAUGCGUAGAUAUUAGGAGGAACACCAGUGGCGAAGGCGACUUACUGGACUGUAACUGGCGUUGAGGCACGAAAGUGUGGGGAGCAAACAGGAUUAGAUACCCGUGUA